rnacentral:rRNA from 1 species
GAUGAACGCUGGCGGCGUGCCUAAUACAUGCAAGUCGAGCGAACAGAUGAGGAGCUUGCUCCUCUGACGUUAGCGGCGGACGGGUGAGUAACACGUGGAUAACCUACCUAUAAGACUGGGAUAACUUCGGGAAACCGGAGCUAAUACCGGAUAAUAUAUUGAACCGCAUGGUUCAAUAGUGAAAGACGGUUUUGCUGUCACUUAUAGAUGGAUCCGCGCCGCAUUAGCUAGUUGGUAAGGUAACGGCUUACCAAGGCGACGAUGCGUAGCCGACCUGAGAGGGGGAGCGACAAACAGGGAUCCGAAACUAGCUACAGACUUGUAGGGGGAGCACGAGUGGGGAUUCCCGCGCAAGGGGCGAAAGCCGGAGGGAUCAACGGAGGGGUGUGGAAGAUGUUAUGGGUUUAGUAAAUUUCUUUUAUUGGGAAAAAAAAAAUGUGUAACUAAAUGGACCCGUCGCGACGAUAAGUAAUAAAAAACCCACCGCUAACAACGUGCCAGCGGCCGCGGUAUGAGAUGCCAACGGGUAAAC